AGUGAACGCUGGCGGUAGGCCUAACACAUGCAAGUCGAACGGCAGCACAGAGGAGCUUGCUCCUUGGGUGGCGAGUGGCGGACGGGUGAGGAAUACAUCGGAAUCUACUCUGUCGUGGGGGAUAACGUAGGGAAACUUACGCUAAUACCGCAUACGACCUACGGGUGAAAGCAGGGGAUCUUCGGACCUUGCGCGAUUGAAUGAGCCGAUGUCGGAUUAGCUAGUUGGCGGGGUAAAGGCCCACCAAGGCGACGAUCCGUAGCUGGUCUGAGAGGAUGAUCAGCCACACUGGAACUGAGACACGGUCCAGACUCCUACGGGAGGCAGCAGUGGGGAAUAUUGGACAAUGGGCGCAAGCCUGAUCCAGCCAUACCGCGUGGGUGAAGAAGGCCUUCGGGUUGUAAAGCCCUUUUGUUGGGAAAGAAAUCCAGCCGGCUAAUACCUGGUUGGGAUGACGGUACC
rnacentral:rRNA from 1 species